GAUGAACGCUGGCGGCGUGCCUAAUACAUGCGAGUCGAGCGAACAGACGAGGAGCUUGCUCCUCUGACGUUAGCGGCGGACGGGUGAGUAACACGUGGAUAACCUACCUAUAAGACUGGGAUAACUUCGGGAAACCGGAGCUAAUACCGGAUAAUAUAUUGAACCGCAUGGUUCAAUAGUGAAAGACGGUUUUGCUGUCACUUAUAGAUGGAUCCGCGCCGCAUUAGCUAGUUGGUAAGGUAACGGCUUACCAAGGCAACGAUGCGUAGCCGACCUGAGAGGGUGGUCGGCCACACUGGAACUGCGACACGGUCCAGCCUCCUACGGGAGGCAGCAGUAGUGAAUCUUCCGCAAUGGGCGAAAGCUUGACGGAGCAACGCCGCGUGAGUGAUGAAGGUCUUCGGAUCGUAAAACUCUGUUAUUAGGGAAGAACAAAUGUGUAAGUAACUAUGCACGUCUUGACGGUACCUAAUCAGAAAGCCACGGCUAACUACGUG
rnacentral:rRNA from 1 species